rnacentral:rRNA from 1 species
UCUACCUUUUAGUGGGGAAUACCUCUGGGAAANCGGAGACGAUACCGCAUAAGCCCGCAAGGGGAAAGCCGAAAGGCGCUGAAAGAGGAGUCCGCGGCCGAUUAGCUAGUUGGCGGGGUAACGGCCCACCAAGGCGAAGAUCGGUAGCCGGCCUGAGAGGGCACACGGCCACACUGGCACUGAAACACGGGCCAGACUCCUACGGGAGGCAGCAGUGGGGAAUCUUGCACAAUGGGCGAAAGCCUGAUGCAGCGACGCCGCGUGAGCGAUGAAGCCCUUCGGGGUGUAAAGCUCUUUCGACGGGAACGAUAAUGACGGUACCCGGAGAAGAAGCUGCGGCUAACUACGUGCCAGCAGCCGCGGUAAUACGUAGGCAGCGAGCGUUGUUCGGAAUUACUGGGCGUAAAGAGUGUGUAGGCGGUGUUCCCAGUCUGUUGUGAAAUCUCCCGGCUUAACUGGGAGGGUGCAGCGGAAACUAGAAUGCUAGAGGGUGGGAGAGGUAAGCGGAAUUCCUGGUGUAGCGGUGAAAUGCGUAGAUAUCAGGAGGAACACCUGUGGUGUAGACAGCUUACUGGACCACUUCUGACGCUGAGACACGAAAGCGUGGGUAGCAAACAGGAUUAGAUACCCUGGUAGUCCACGC